rnacentral:rRNA from 1 species
UACGAAGGGUCCAAGCGUUGUUCGGAAUCAUUGGGCGUAAAGCGCGCGCAGGCGGAUUAGUAAGUCAGAUGUGAAAUCUCGGAGCUCAACUUCGAAACUGCGUCUGAAACUACUAGUCUAGAAUAUCGGAAGGGGCAGGGGAAUUUCACGUGUAGGGGUAAAAUCCGUAGAGAUGUGAAGGAACACCGGAGGCGAAGGCGCCUGCCUGGACGAUCAUUGACGCUGAGGCGCGAAAGCAUGGGGAGCAAACAGG